rnacentral:rRNA from 1 species
AUUAAGAGUAUAUGGCGGAUGCCUUGACAUAAGAGAACGAUGAAGGACGUAGCAGCCUGCGAUAAGCUUCGGUGAGGUGGCAAGCAACCCUUGACCCGAAGAUUUCCGAAUGGGGAAACCUCCCCGGUUGUAGACCGGGGGUCCGCUGGCUGAACACAUAAGCCAGUGAGACGAUUACCCGGUGAAUUGAAACAUCUUAGUAGCCGGAGGAAAAGAAAAAAAGCCUGAGCAAUCAGGAAUAUUCCGUGAGUAGUGGCGAGCGAAAACGGAGGAGUCUAAACCGAUUUAACAUCCCUAGUUGAAGCGAGCUGGAAAGCUCCGCCAGAGAAGGUGAAAGCCCUGUAACAGCAAAAGGGGUUAUUGCUCUGCGGCAUAUCUCUUAAGUACUGCGGGACUCGUGAAAUCCCGUGGGAAGCCGGGUCGACUAUGACCCAAGACUAAAUAUCUCUUAUGAUCGAUAGUGAACAAGUACCGUGAGGGAAAGGUGAAAAGCAGCCCGGUGAGGGCGGUGAAAUAGUACCUGAAACCAUAUACUUACAAGGAGUUGGAGCCCCGGUUCGCCGGGGUGACAGCGUGCCUAUUGAAGAAUGAGCCAACGAGUUUGUUCUAUGUGGCUUGACUAAGUUCCGUUUGGAAUGGAGUCGAAGUGAAAGCGAGGGUUAAUAGCCCGUAUCCACUUAUUUUGCAGAUACCAGGCCUUCUGGUGGCUGCAAAAUAACGUGGAAUGUCGCAUGGACAAGACCCGAAGCCGGGUGAUCUAGCCAUGGCCAGGUUGAAGUAGUACGAAAGUACUAUGGAGGACCGAACCCACAAGCCGUUCAAUACUUGGGGAUGAGCUGUGGCUGGCGGAGAAAUUCCAAUCGAACUCGGCAAUAGCUGGUUCUCCUCGAAAUAGCUUUAGGGCUAGCGUCGGAUGCUGACUACUGGGGGUAGAGCACUGAAUGAGACAGGGGCCGCAAGGUACCCUUCUUAACCAAACUCCGAAUACCAGUAGGUGAAGUCCGGCAGUCAGACUAUGGGGGCUAAGCUUCAUCAGUCAAAAGGGAAACAGCCCAGACCGCAAUCUAAGGUCCCAAAAUAUAUGCUAAGUGUAAAAGGUGGUGUCGCGACUGCGACAACUAGGAGGUUGGCUUAGAAGCAGCCAUCCUUUAAAGAUAGCGUAAUAGCUCACUAGUCUAGUUGUCUCGCGCCGAAAAUGUACCGGGGCUAAGCAUAUUACCGAAGAUGCGGGCCAGCUGGCGGUAGAGGAGCAUUCUAUACGCGCAGAAGCCGAAUUGUGAAGUUUGGUGGAGCUUAUAGAAGAGAGAAUGUUGGCAUGAGUAGCAAAAAGGCGGGUGAGAACCCCGCCCACCGUAAGUCUCAGGGUUCCUGGGCAACGUAAAUCGUCCCAGGGUUAGUCGGUCCUAAGGCGAGGCCUCUGUAGUGGGGGCGUAGUCGAUGGAUUAGCUGGUCAAUAUUCCAGCACUGCUGCAGUUUUCCGAUGGGGAGACGCAGUUCUAGAGUUUAUACGUGCUAUGGUAUGUACGUUGUUUGUUUUAAAGCGCGAUCCAGGCAAAUCCGGAUCAACAGCGCGGAGAAAUCGACUAAAGAUGAAGCCUCGGCGGAUUCAAAUAAGCAAAAGAGCUGCCUAGAAAAACCUCUAGGGCUAAGGCUGCAGCAACCGUACCGCAAACCAACACAGGUAGACGAGGCGAGUAGCCUCAGGUGAACGAGAGAAGCCGCAGCUAAAGAAGCCCGAGCGACUGUUUAUCAAAAACACAGCUCCCUGCUAACUCGUAAGAGGAUGUAUAGGGGGUGACGCCUGGCCAGUGUCCGAACGUUAAGGGGAGAGGUUAGACCUUCGGGUUGAAGCUUUGAACUGAAGCGCGGAUGAACGCCGGCCGUAACUAUAACGGUCCUAAGGUAGCGAAAUUCCUUGUCAGGUAAGUUCUGACCUGCACGAAUGGCGUAACGACUUGGGUACUGUCUCAACGAAGAACUCGGCGAAAUUGCAAGACGAGUAAAGAUGCUCGUUAACCAUAGCUGGACGAAAAGACCCCGUGAAGCUUUACUAUAGCUUAAUAUUGGGUUAUGACUAUGCAUGUUCAGAAUAGGUGGGAGCCGCAAGGCAACAGUGAGAUACCACCCUUGUAUAUUUGUAACCCUAACCCUCAGGCCUUGAAUCAGGUCAGGGGACAGUAUUUGGUGGGUAGUUUGUCUGGGGCGGAUGCCUCCCAAAGAGUAACGGAGGCGUUUACAAAGGUUGGCUAUCCCGGAAUGGAAACCCGGGAGAUAGUGUAAAAAGUCGAGCAGUUGCGAAAGCAGAACUUAGUGAUCCGACCGUUCGAUAUAGGACGGCGGAAGCUCAUCGGAUAAAAGCUACUCCGGGGAUAACAGGCUAGUCACGCCCAAGCGUCCACAGCGACGGCGUGGUUCGGCACCUCGAUGUCGGCUCGUCGCAUCCUGGGGGUGAAGAAGCUCCCAAGGGUUGGGCUGUUCGCCCAUUAAAGCGGCACGCGAGCUGGGUUCAGACCGUCGUAAGACAGGUCGGUCUCCUAUCCACUAUGGUCGUGGAAACUUGAGAAGGCUCUUCCCUAGUACGAGAGGACCGGGAAGGACGAAGCUCUAGUGUGCCGGCUGUCCCACCAGGGGCAUUGCCGGGUAGCUACCUUCGGUUUGGAUAAGCGCUGAAGGCAUAUAAGCGCGAAGCCGUCUUCAAGAUUAGGUUUCAUAGAGUCGUCGGAGAACACGACGUUAAUAGGCUCUAGGUGUAAGUGCAGUAAUGCAUUCAGCCGAGGAGUACUAAUCACUCAAAUGAUUU